GCCAAACGGGCCCUUGAAUAACAUAAACAAUCCAGUCAAGCAACCAUGAUAGUCUAAUUGCUGACAAAUUUUAUUGAUUCCAUCUACAAACACAUUUAAAUACAACAACCACCUCAAAUAUCAUAGGUACAUAGCCAAACCUCUCAUUCAUAAUAGAUGAAGAAAUAGAUAGAGAGAGACUAUAAAGAAAAAGAACUAGCGACAUAGAUACAUAGCCAAACCUCUCAUUCUAACCCUAAACCAAUAUUACAUGAAAUGCAGUGCUUUGAGCAAUACCAGCUACCUAUACAGGUUUGGUCUCAGAUGAGUAUCAUAAUGUGAGACAUGAAAUGAUGGGGUUGUACCUGUCUCAUUCCUAGGAAGUGAUCUUAGGUACAUUUCUUCACCUGAUAAUAAUUUUGGCACUACAAUGGGGCUGAAUGUGGUCGGUGAGGAUUCAUGUAGUGGACUCCAACUUGGGGAUUGAGACGU
rnacentral:lncRNA from 1 species